GUGUAUGUGAUAUUUAUUGGCCGCCAG
rnacentral:piRNA from 1 species